AACGAACGCUGGCGGCAGGCUUAACACAUGCAAGUCGAACGCCCCGCAAGGGGAGUGGCAGACGGGUGAGUAACACGUGGGAACGUGCCCUUCGCUUCGGAAUAGCCCCGGGAAACUGGGAGUAAUACCGAAUACGCCGUAUUGGGAAAGAUUUAUCGGCGAAGGAUCGGCCCGCGUUGGAUUAGCUAGUUGGCGGUGUAAUGGACCACCAAGGCGACGAUCCAUAGCUGGUCUGAGAGGACGACCAGCCACACUGGGACUGAGACACGGCCCAGACUCCUACGGGAGGCAGCGGUGGGGAAUCUUGGACAAUGGGCGAAAGCCUGAUCCAGCCAUGCCGCGUGAGUGAAGAAGGCCUUAGGGUUGUAAAACUCUUUCGCCGGUGAAGAUAAUGACGGUAGCCGGAGAAGAAGCCCCGGCUAACUUCGUGCCAGCCGCCGCCGUAACAC
rnacentral:rRNA from 1 species